UUGCGUCCUCCACAAGUAUACGGGUCGUUCAAGUAGUAAAGAAAAUAUAACGUCCCACAGAGAUUUAUUGUUUGAAUACCAAACUAUAAAAGUCACGAUUAUUUUGACUAUCGAUAAUUUGUGCCAAAAAUAGAGUAAGAGAUGCAGCAAAUUAAAUUGGGAAAAUAAGGAAAUUUUAAUGAAUUAAGCAAUUAAAAUUCUAAGC
rnacentral:misc_RNA from 1 species